rnacentral:rRNA from 1 species
UACGUAGGGUGCGAGCGUUAUCCGGAAUUAUUGGGCGUAAAGAGCUCGUAGGCGGUUUGUCGCGUCUGUCGUGAAAGUCCGGGGCUUAACCCCGGAUCUGCGGUGGGUACGGGCAGACUAGAGUGCAGUAGGGGAGACUGGAAUUCCUGGUGUAGCGGUGGAAUGCGCAGAUAUCAGGAGGAACACCGAUGGCGAAGGCAGGUCUCUGGGCUGGUAACUGACGCUGAGGAGCGAAAGCAUGGGAAGCGAACAGG